rnacentral:rRNA from 1 species
UACGUAGGGGGCAAGCGUUAUCCGGAUUUACUGGGUGUAAAGGGUGCGCAGGCGGCCUGUUAAGUCAGCGGUAAAAGCCCGGGGCUCAACCCCGGCGAGCCGUUGAAACUGGCGGGCUGGAGUUGGAGAGAAGUACGCGGAAUGCGCGGUGUAGCGGUGAAAUGCAUAGAUAUCACGCAGAACCCCGAUUGCGAAGGCAGCAUACCGGCGCCCUACUGACGCUGAGGCACGAAAGUGCGGGUAUCGAACAGG